rnacentral:rRNA from 1 species
UACGGAGGGCUCAAGCGUUGUUCGGAUUCAUUGGGCGUAAAGGGCGCGUAGGUGGCGCGCUAAGUCAGGUGUGAAAUUUCGGAGCUUAACUCCGAAACUGCAUUUGAUACUGGCGUGCUUGAGGACUGGAGAGGAGACUGGAAUUCAUGGUGUAGCGGUGAAAUGCGCAGAUAUCAGGAGGAACACCGGUGGCGAAGGCGGGUCUCUGGGCCGAUACUGACGCUGAGGAGCGAAAGCGUGGGGAGCGAACAGG